ACGCGUGGAACCUUACCAGGUCUUGACAUCCCGCUGCCCGGUAUAGAGAUAUACCUUUCCCUUCGGGGACAGCGGUGACAGGUGGUGCAUGGUUGUCGUCAGCUCGUGUCGUGAGAUGUUGGGUUAAGUCCCGCAACGAGCGCAACCCUUGAUCUUAGUUGCCAGCAUUAAGUUGGGCACUCUAAGGUGACUGCCGGUGAUAAACCGGAGGAAGGUGGGGAUGACGUCAAAUCAUCAUGCCCCUUAUGACCUGGGCUACACACGUGCUACAAUGGAUGGUACAAAGGGCUGCAAGACCGCGAGGUCAAGCCAAUCCCAUAAAACCAUUCUCAGUUCGGAUUGCAGGCUGCAACUCGCCUGCAUGAAGCCGGAAUCGCUAGUAAUCGCGGAUCAGCAUGCCGCGGUGAAUACGUUCCCGGGCCUUGCACUCACUGCCCGU
rnacentral:rRNA from 1 species